rnacentral:lncRNA from 1 species
AGAAUUGUGGGAGGCUGGCGCCACUGCAGGCGGAGUAAGCCUCUGCUGCGCUCCACCCUGAGCUCCUAGGACCAGGGCGCAGGGAGAGCAAUUUGGUACUUUCUGGAUCCUCCAAGAAGCGGCCAGAGGAAGUGACAGGUAAGGCCUGCACCUGUUAAAAUAGACAAGAUACAACCCUCCACCAUGGGCGGCGCUGGAAUUCUCCAUCCAAGACGCUUCCUGCUCCCAAAUGUGUCUUGUCCCCUGGCACCCACUGGGGGUGAAAGAACUGUUGCUUAUACUCACCUCUUAGGGAUAGCUGGCGACCUUCUUCAUCAAACCACCUCAAGUACACUAAGCUUUCCAGGCACAGUUCAGUGUCCUUUUCCUGUAAUCAAAGUAUCAGAUUUCCUUUCUCGUCCUCAACCACUCAACCAGUAACAUGGUGUGUAAGCCCGCUUUCUAUUUUGCAAGUCUUAAUUCACCUAUUUUAAAAGCUGACUCUUUUUGUUCCUGGAGUGAAAGAUAGUUUUGUGGUUAGUGGGCCAAAUUAUAAGUCUGCCUAAUUCCAAUUCCAAAUCUCAAUUGUACUCUUUUUUUUUUUUUUUUCUUUUGGUUUUUCGAGACAGGGUUUCUCUAUGUAGCCUUGGCUGUCCGGGAACUCACUUUGUAGACCAGGCUGGCCUCGAAUUCAGAAAUCCGCCUGCCUCUGCCUCCCAAGUGCUGGGAUUAAAGGCGUGGGUCACCACACCCCGUUAAUUAUACUCAUUAUUAGAUCUAUACAUUCUAUACAUGUACAAAUUACUUGAUCUAAUUCUUUCGGAUUUUUUUUUUUUUUGAGACAGAAAAUUACACAUAGCCCAGGCAGACCCGAACUCACUAUAUAGCCAAAGCUGGCCCUGAACUUUUAGAGUCUCCUGUCUCCACCUCCCCAGUGCAGAUGUGCACCACUAUGCCCAGCUUCAGGUGGGUCUUCCGUGUUGUUAUGGGUAUUAAGUCUAUGCAACACAACACGUGUAUGACUGAUGAUAGAGGCCAGAAGACAGUGUCGGAUCCUCUGGACCUGGAGUUAUAGAUGGUUGUAAAUUGACAGGUGAACUCUGGGAGUUGACCCUGGGUUCUCUGGAAGAGCAGCCAGUGCUCUGAACCACUAAGCCAUCUCUCUAGACCCUUGCGUUGGUUCUUAAGGAGUGAAUGAACUAGAUUAACAUCUGCCUGGCCAUUAUCAAGGUGGAUUGGACAGAACAAAGAGCCUAACUCAUAUUAAAGAUUCAUAGUAGCCACUGUAAUUCUGAAAUUCUAGGUUUCCCAAAAGGUGAUUAGCAUUAAACUGCUCCUACAUUUUGUAAGAAGCCUUCUAGAUCUCUUCAUUUUUAGGGCUUCCUCUCUUAUGUAUGUGUUGAAUAUUCAGCCAACUUGUAAGGGAUUAAAAAGCAAAACAACUUCUAAGAUAACCGGGCAAAGGGUCACUUAUUACCCAUUGCUUCAGUUUGGCCUGUGCAACUACUUGUCUGGAGUAUUUUAACUGUAGGCUUAAAAGCAACAGCAUUCGAGAUAGACCUGGCCCGCCCUGUCUUAAGAUGUUUUGUUCAAUUUGGAGCUAAUUGACAUGUCAAGAUAAAACUUUGCGGGCUGGCUAGAUGGCUCAGCAGUUAAGAGCACUGACUGCUCUUCCGAAGAUCCUGAGUUCAAAUCCCAGCAACCACAUGGUGGCUCACAACCACCCAUAAUGAGAUCUGACAUCCUUUUCUGGUGUGUCUGAAGUCAACUACAGUGUACUGACAUAUAUCAAUAUAUAAAUC